rnacentral:rRNA from 1 species
UACGAAGGGGGCUAGCGUUGCUCGGAAUUACUGGGCGUAAAGCGCACGUAGGCGGCUUCUUAAGUCGGUGGUGAAAUCCUGGAGCUCAACUCCAGAACUGCCUUCGAUACUGGGAGCUCGAGUCCGGGAGAGGUGAGUGGAACUGCGAGUGUAGAGGUGAAAUUCGUAGAUAUUCGCAAGAACACCAGUGGCGAAGGCGGCUCACUGGCCCGGUACUGACGCUGAGGUGCGAAAGCGUGGGGAGCAAACA